AUCACUGCAUCCAACGGGCAGUGUGAAUGGGGCUACUGUGUUUGGCGUGUUGACAUUUAAUGUCCCUAACAACUUCAGCAGUCUCAUUAAGCCACUUGCUAGUAACUGCUAUGUUUAAGACAUUUAAGUGCUUAUAAAGAAAGUGUAGGACAUUAAAAUCCUCAGCCUUAUUUCAGGCAUUUAAACGAAAACCAAUGUUAAAAAUUCAUAGACUUUGAAAUGUGGGAACCGAAUGUGAAAUUAUGCUAACCGAUUUCCGGGUUUAAGGAUUACAAACUAUACAUGAAACUAUAAAAACAGCAAAAAAGGAUACACAAGACAUGCUCUGCUUGUGUUUGCACUGUUUAGCCUCAGUGAGCGGGUAGCAUCAUAGUGUGAAACCCUUUACCUCACACACACAGCACCAAUUGAUUUUGGAUAAACUGGAUCAUAUUUUAUGUAGAACAUGUUUUCAGGUUUUCAUUCUAAUGUCCUCCGGCAGCUCUGUCUCAACUCUCUAUGAAUUACAGAGUUUCCUGAAAGCAGCCUGAAACUUUAGCGCACUGAAGCUACGAGUUAGCACUGCUAGCUAGCUCCACCUGGAGCAGCUGCGGGUGGACUGCAUGUGUACGCACACCUAUCACAGCGGCCUCAACAGACAUCACGACCGAGGUGAAGAGAUGGAAGAGCAACCUGAGAAGAAAACAGAGAUAACAGUCGAGCAAGACUCAAGUCUUUUACUUUUUUGUCAUGGACGACAGCUCUGCUAAUUAAAAGGCUGCAGGACAGAAGCAGAGCUGGACUUGCUGCCGCUGAAUACUCCGCUGGCAUGAUGUGAGCCUCUUCAGCGGAUAACCUGCCAAAGACACCGGUCACGACACUGUGAAGCUGAAAGGGUUUUGUCUGCCUCUCUGCCCCCUCCCCCUUCUCCCCUGUUCUCUCUCCUUUCAGCUCCUUCUCUCUCUCUCUCUCUCUCUCUCUCUCUCUCUCUCUCUGUCUGUCUCUCUCUCUCUCUCUCUCUCUCUCUCUCUCUCCUCCUUGUCUCUCCUCCUGUGGCCUUAUCAUCCCACCUCCCCCUUUUCUUCAACCUCCCGCUGGUCCUGGGCUCCAUGACCUGUCAGUGGAGAGGAGACUGCCCGUGUCCCAGGCUGAUAAGGCAGCUAAUUAUCCAACACUUCACACACCAGGGGAAGUGGAUCGGCAAACAGACAGCCACACACAUGCAGAGCUAUAUGGGCUGCAAAAACACUGUCAGACAUAUGCAUGGACCCCUCGGAUACAACAAGUUACAACACAAGAUAGAUAGCAGGACAGCAAAUCAUUAUAGAAAUGAAUCUAAACAUUUACUCAAGUCUGCCUCAUGUCCGGCAUCACACGCAAGCAAAUAAAUUCAAAGGCAAACUAGGAGACCACAGAAUUUGGUUGAGGCUUAAAAAGAAUAAAGGUGGGGGCAAAAAACAGGGUUCAAACCAAAGAUGUUUGGACAUAAAUACCCUAAGAAAGACAGAGAAAAGCACAGAGAGGCCCCUCCUCUCCACUUUUGUAUUAUACUGUUGUAAGUGAAAGCUGGUUGAAAAGUCAGUGGCAUAUCUUGGCAGCAAUUUCAGGAGCUGAGCACUCCAAUCCAGCCUCCCAGGCUCCCCAUUUGAUGGAGUAGAAAUAAGCACUUUGGUGCUCUUUCUGCGAUGUUCAAAUGCACCAUUGGAGGAGAGAGAGGUCCACAUUCUGUAAUGUUCUAUUUUGAAGUUUGCUUCAAGUAGUGGCCAAGUGGUUGAGACAUUAUGUUAGAGGACAAUCCAACCCUGCAAUAUUAUGCAUUUACCUUUUUUCCCCUGCCAUUUAGCAAAUAAAACACUGUUUUUCUGCCCUGUU